CAUUAUAACCGUGUCCCAAACAUUCGUACAUUUUAAAUCCCUUAAAGGAACCCUUAACAAAAUCAUGACAAUUUUGCCCAAUAUAAGUAAAAUAGAAAUUAAGCCAUAAAUGUAAUUAAAUAUUUUCAUAUCCGCCUACAUGUUGAUAAAGUUUAAAAUUGUUCUUCUGUAUUGUUUUUCUGCCCUAGGCUUACUCACUUGAAGAACAAUGGGAACGCGUUUUUUCCCUCCCUCACAGAACAAGUAAACAUAGAAAGUGUCCAACAUAAGCUAUGCUUAUUUUUUGUUUUAUAGCAUUUAUUUCCUAAGCGCCAUGCAAUAUUUUGGAUUCGUUUUCUUGGGAAGGAAUAGUUGCUUAGACAAGUGACUUGUUUUCACAGAACCCAAUAAGAGGUGUGAGUUUGCUAUUUUAAAUAAUAGGCAAAGUGUUUUCGAUUUGAAAGAGAAAAGUUCUACAAGUUUGCCAGUCUAACACAGUCUAGCUAGUACAACAUCGGCCAAGGUCUUGGACACUUAAUUAUGAUAUUGUGUUAAUAGUUUAUUUUUUUGUUUAACGAUUUCUAAAAUAGCCUAUUUUCACAACAACAACAAAAGAUUUCAGUUUCUGAACAUUUGCGUACAUACCUUGAUAUGGCCUGACGUCAAAUCUGCCUCUAAUUACAUACUAAGAAUCACUUCCAGUAUCAGCCCUACAAAUUAUGGUAAUUUAUGUUUAUGUGUAUUUCCAAGCAAAACAAAAAAAAAAAAAGUAAUUAUAAAAAAGCAACAAUGCUUUAUCUACUAACCUAUAUAAAUUUUAUUAUACCUGUAACUCGUAUCGUUCAUUCAUAGGUUGAAUAAAAUCGUAUUUUAAACAUCCUUGCAAAUAUAUUAAUCUUAAAAGUUACUUUUUUACUUAUACAUAUUCGAAUAUUUGAGUUGAUUGUUGAUUCGAUGUGGCCACUAAAACUUCUUUUACUUACAGAUGAAAAACACUUCAGGCCAUUUAGUUGCCACUCACCCCAUACGAUCUCGGAAAACUUUGAGUUAUAUGCCAAAUUCGGCUUAUCACAAAAAUCACGGACUCUGCUCAUGGUCGAGAAGUACACGUUUGUUUCUGACCCGAUGUGAAACUGAGCGAAAAAAAACAGUCUGCUUAUGUCUCCAGGUGGAGAUGUUCGAUGUAUGUUAAGUAUUCGUGCAAAGCAAGGGCAUGCACCACACAAAUUGCUAAAAAGGCACCCAAGGCAUUUAACUGUCACUCAGCCGAUAUGAUAUCGGGAAAUUUUCAAUUGUGUGCAAAAUUUGGCUUAUCGAAAAAAUCACGACCUUUACUUAUGAUUGAGAAUUUCACAUUUGUUUGUGAUACUAAGCCAAAGAACAAAUCUGCCUAUGUCUCCAGCUGGAGGUGUUCCAUGUACGUCAAGUAUUUGUGCAAAGCCAGGGCAUGCACAAAACAAAUAGGCGACGAUAUCAGAUAUCGCAUAACCCAUCCAUACCACACACAUUAAACAUUCGAAACUGAUCAAGGUAAAUUAUUCUAAGUAAUUUUUAUAAAACGCAUUGCUUCUCUGACAACGAUCAAUCGACCGAAUAAUGGAAAAAACGUUGAUAAAAAUAUCAAAAUUUCAUCAAAUAAAUUUUUAUUAUAAAAUAUUCAUCUCUCGUUUCGUUUAAGUCGCUUUGGUACAGGCAUGUCUUGCUUUAAAAAUUAAAUGGGAAUUUAGCAACAGAUACAUAAAGUGUGCUAUGGAUAUUGGGGACAGGUGUUCAAAAUAGUUUUUAUUUUAUCACAUAUGAAAUUUAAAGUUAUUUUAUGCCGAAAUAAUAAAAAGACACAGUAGGAUCAACGCUAUAAAA
rnacentral:sRNA from 1 species